GGUGAACCUGCAGAUGGAUCAUCGU
rnacentral:rRNA from 1 species